AGAGUUUGAUCCUGGCUCAGGAUGAACGCUAGCGACAGGCUUAACACAUGCAAGUCGAGGGGCAGCGGUGGUGAAGGCUUGCCUUUACCAGCCGGCGACCGGCGCACGGGUGAGUAACACGUAUGCAACCUGCCUGCCACAGCCGGAUAAUCGGGAGAAAUUCCGUCUAAUACGGCAUAAUGCAUCGACGGGACAUCCUGUUGGUGCCAAAGGUUGAUUCCGGUGGCGGAUGGGCAUGCGUCGCAUUAGUUAGUUGGCGGUGUAACGGACCACCAAGACGACGAUGCGUAGGGGUUCUGAGAGGAAGGUCCCCCACACUGGUACUGAGACACGGACCAGACUCCUACGGGAGGCAGCAGUGAGGAAUAUUGGUCAAUGGGCGGGAGCCUGAACCAGCCAAGUCGCGUGAGGGAUGACGGCCCUAUGGGUUGUAAACCUCUUUUGCCGGGGAGCAAAGUGCCGCACGUGUGCGGUUUGGAGAGUACCCGGAGAAAAAGCAUCGGCUAACUCCGUGCCAGCAGCCGCGGUAAUACGGAGGAUGCGAGCGUUAUCCGGAUUUAUUGGGUUUAAAGGGUGCGUAGGCGGACGCUUAAGUCAGCGGUAAAAUUGCGGGGCUCAACCUCGUCGAGCCGUUGAAACUGGGUGCCUUGAGUGGGCGAGAAGUACGCGGAAUGCGUGGUGUAGCGGUGAAAUGCAUAGAUAUCACGCAGAACUCCGAUUGCGAAGGCAGCGUACCGGCGCCCAACUGACGCUGAAGCACGAAGGCGUGGGUAUCGAACAGGAUUAGAUACCCUGGUAGUCCACGCAGUAAACGAUGAAUGCUAGUUGUCCGGGGCGAUUGAGUUCUGGGUGACACAGCGAAAGCGUUAAGCAUUCCACCUGGGGAGUACGCCGGCAACGGUGAAACUCAAAGGAAUUGACGGGGGCCCGCACAAGCGGAGGAACAUGUGGUUUAAUUCGAUGAUACGCGAGGAACCUUACCCGGGCUCAAACGCAGGAGGGAUGUUUUUGAAAGGAGGCAGCCAGCAAUGGUCUCCUGCGAGGUGCUGCAUGGUUGUCGUCAGCUCGUGCCGUGAGGUGUCGGCUUAAGUGCCAUAACGAGCGCAACCCCUACCUACAGUUGCCAUCGCGUGAUGGCGGGCACUCUGUGGGGACUGCCUGCGCAAGCAGUGAGGAAGGCGGGGAUGACGUCAAAUCAGCACGGCCCUUACGUCCGGGGCGACACACGUGUUACAAUGGCAGGUACAGCGGGAAGCCACCCGGCGACGGGGCGCGGAACCCGAAAGCCGGUCUCAGUUCGGAUCGGAGUCUGCAACCCGACUCCGUGAAGCUGGAUUCGCUAGUAAUCGCGCAUCAGCCAUGGCGCGGUGAAUACGUUAGCGGGCCUUGCACUCACCGCCCGUCA
rnacentral:rRNA from 1 species